rnacentral:lncRNA from 1 species
AAAGCCGUUAAAUGGGAAAGAAGCAAAUGGAAAAUGUUGUGACUUUUAUACAUGCACAAAAUUUACUGAGCAACAAUUUCACUCUGUGAGAUCCUUGCAGGGUUGCUGAGCAGCUGCUGCCUUCAAGAAGCUAACAUUUUCAUUGAAAAAACACCUAAGAAUUGGUAUUGGCCAGGAUCAUCUACAGGCUCCAAUAUUUGGAGAUCUUCCCAUGCUUAUAGCAGCACAACUCAUAACAGCUAUAUCUUGGAAGUAACCUACAUGUCCAUCAAUAGAUGAAUGGAUAAAGAAAAUGUGGUGUUUACACACAAUGGAGUACUAUAGCAGUCUGCUAAAAGAAGGUCACAGGUCAUGAGUGGCAGACAUCAUGUGAGCAGACAACCAUGACAGAGAGUGGUCUGGAACCUGUACCUGUGGUUGACCAACUGUAUGGCCUUAGACAAAAUAAAGCCCUUCAUUACUCUAAAUUUCAGCUUCCUCAUUUAUAAUACAGAGGCAAUAUCUACCUUUCACUGUUGCUGUGAUCAUUAAAGAUAAUUAGAUAGAAAACAUAAGUACAGAAAGUAGGCAUUUGAGUCAUUAGCUCUGUAGCAUUUGUACCCUUCAUUUAGUCACAUAGUCAUGUGACUAUUAAACCUCUGUUGGGCAGCAAGCAUAACUGGGCUAGAGAUUCCAUUUCCCCAUAAAGAGGAGAGAAGCAAAACCAAAUAAAGUGUCACUAAGGUGGAGCCCAUAGCCAUCUCACUAGCUUACAAUCCUUUUUUUUUUUUUUUUUUUUUUCCGGUAUAUUCAAGUCUGUGGCAUCUGUUGCCCCUGAAAAUAUUUCCAGUGUUCUUUGUUGGAGAGCAACUGAGUCUCUGAGGACAUCUCACCAAAGAGUGCUUGGUUUAGUGUCAGAAGCAGCUCCAUGCAGUUGUUAGACACUGUGAUAGUUGACUGUGAUCUUCCACUUGCCUAGAUUAAGGAAUGCCUAGCAGAUCAGUAAAGCACACUUCUGGCAUGUCUUCGAGGACAUGUCCAGAGAUGAUUGGCAUGUAGGCUGGCAAACUGAGGGAAAAAAAGACCCACCCUGAUUGUGGGUGGUUUCCUCCAAUAGUCUUACAGCCCAGAUGAAAUGGAAAGGAGGAAAAGGGGAAGUGGGGCUGCAUUGGAAAAGGUCCAUUUUGCUACAGCAGGUUCAUCUUUUGCUACUGCCAUUUCCCAUGGACAUCAGACUCCAGCUGUUUCAGCCUUUCAAUGCAGACUCACACCAGUGACUCUCCAGGGAGCUUCCAGGCCUUUGGUCUCAGACUGGCACUGCACCCUUAAUCUCUCUUGUUCCGUAGCUUUCAGCUUCUUUUGGAUUGGGCAGCAACUGGAUCCUCUGGCUCUCAGUGUGCAGACAGCCACUGUGCAUUCUCCUGCCUCUGAUUCUAUAAGUCUAACAAAUACCCUUCCAUAAUUAUACAUACAAAAAAAUAUUUCUUUUGAUUCUGAUCCUCUAGAGAUCCCUAACUAAUACAGACAUACACUAUGGAGCAGAAAUUCAAAAACAUGCUGCUUGAACUCAACUUUCAGCUGUGCCACUUCCUAGAUGAAUCAGUUCUUGAAUA